rnacentral:lncRNA from 1 species
AUGGAGACACCCGGACAAUCCGCGCCGGGUCAGCCCCUUUCUUCGCGGGGCAGCAACCCCCUCCCUUGCAAGUCGCCGGGCACUGGCAGAACACUGCCCCCUCCUGCGCGUUGCGCUCCCCGUGAGCACCCGCCGCCUCCGCAGCCCAGUUCAGCUGGCGCCGAGCCUCUAGGGACCCUGGGGACCGGUGGGGGACCGAGUGCGGGACUUUGGGCUCCAGUUCUGCCUGGGGCGGGUGUGGGGCGAGGAGUGCGUGCCGGGUCCCCUGCUCCAGAGGCGACCUGGGGAUUCUGGGGAACGUCUCGGCCGCGCUGCAUAGCCAGCAGGCUGCUCACACAUCCCAGACUGUUCCUGCAGGGACGGGUGUGUGCUGUCCUGGUGUGCUAACACAUGGUUUGGAGGAGAAGGAAGAUAUGGCGUAGAACUGGAGGCUGGUGAGUUAAAAAUACACACCAUGUUCUACCCUGCAGUGGGGCAGACACGCGCCACCACAGCCUGAGGAGAGAGAGCUUUGAUUUUUCUCUGGAGAAUCCCUUUUUCCCUGUAGGAGAAACAUUUUUCCAUCACGUGCCUUCCCCUAUCCUAACCGAACGGAGAGCACAUACGUAGCUGAAACUAGGUCUCCCAGAUGCUCUUGAGCUGGAAUUUUAGUGUGGAGACAAGUGAUGCAAAAACUGAGAAUGGUUCUAAGUCACUUACUCUGGUAGCAAGGGCCAAAGGGAAUUGUAUUAUUCCUGCCACUUGAAUUCCUACAGCUUCUCUCGUACUUUGAUAAAGUGGAUUCCUGGCUUCUCCUUCUGUUCCGUGAGCUCUUUUGUAUCCUUCCAAUACAUUCAUUUCUUUGCUUAAGAUACCCGGACUCUGCUUCUGUUAUUUUCAUCACAGAAUUCGGACCAAAAUCGAUUCUCAGAUACUGCAUGUUUCAAUAUGCAAUGCUGGAAGGGCAGUAUUUGGGAGGUGGAGAGAGUCACUUGGAAUCAAACAUUUAUUCAGGCACCAAACUCAAUUUUCCUCAAGCC